rnacentral:lncRNA from 1 species
UGCAAUUUAAAGAUACCUAAUAUAAGAUUAGGAUAUUGAGAAACAAUUUCUAGAAGUUUACAUAAUUCUGAGCUUAAAAUGUUCUAAGAUGACUUGAGAGUUCAUAUCUUAUUAGAAAAGAAGGCUCAUUUUUAUGGCUGAAGUUGCUGGAAAUGUAAAAUUCGUUUAAAACGUUUGUCACUUGUUUAAGGGGAUCUCAUGUUGGGAUACCCUUUCUUUGCUCGCUCAUGGAAAAGUAAAAAGAAGUUCUAGCUAAGUAAAAUUCGAUCUAGAUGGAGGAAAGAUUUGGAGUGCAAAUAUCCAUGAGGUAUAAAUAGUUCUGUUUGUAGACAAGUAGUAUGUUGAUCAAAAGUUAUUAGUGAAUUCAAAGGAUUUUGAUGUUU